rnacentral:lncRNA from 1 species
AUGUCAAGCAGCGAAAGGAAGGCCACUGACACUGCUGGCAGGCAUUCAAGGAUGGAUCCAAAUCUCUCCUCAGAUGACAGCCAGAACCCAGCUAACAGAGAAGUCCUUGAUGCUGGUAGGGAGGACAUUAUUUCCUCAGGAACAGAGAGGCAACAGGCCAGGAAGGAAAAACAGGACUUGGUCCAAGAAUUCGAAGAGCCACCUAACAAAGUUCUUCAGGAAAACAGAGAAAGAUUCUCAAGGAUCAUGACCUCAUCUUUCAGUGCCAUGGAGGUCAAAAUUAAGGAUGUUCUGAAAACCCAGUGUGAACAGAGGCAGAAACUUUGUCAGGACUAUUCUCUUCAGUUUACAAAUUUGAGUAGGAAGUUAACUUCGGAUGCAUACAAACUCAAGAAACAGGCUUAGCAAUAUGUUUAUGGAGCAACAGAAGUUUAUUCAUGAAACUCUCACUCUUCAGAAGAACAGAAUGGAAGAAUUUAAAUCACUGUGUGAAGAAUACUUGGAGAAACUGGAGGUACUGAGGGAUUCUCGGGGAAAUUCCAUCGCUGAAGAGCUGAGACGUCUCAUAGCCACCUUGGAAAUCAAACUUCUGAUGCUGCAUAACCAGCAAAAGACUGCUGCUCCUCCACAAUCUCUCCUGGAUGUGUUAUUCUCAUAA